rnacentral:sRNA from 1 species
UCCAAUGCCAAACUUGAUGAUGUGGUUGA